rnacentral:rRNA from 1 species
CCUACGGGAGGCAGCAGUGAGGAAUAUUGGUCAAUGGGCGGAAGCCUGAACCAGCCAAGUAGCGUGCGGGAUGAAGGCCCUACGGGUCGUAAACCGCUUUUGCACGGGGAUAACACCCUCCACUUGUGGAGGUCUGCAGGUACCGUGCGAAUAAGGGCCGGCUAAUUCCGUGCCAGCAGCCGCGGUAAUACGGAAGGCCCGAGCGUUAUCCGGAUUUAUUGGGCUUAAAGGGAGCGUAGGCGGGGGGUUAAGUCAGGUGUAAAAGUCGGCGGCUCAACCGCACCCCGGCAGUUGAAACUGGACGCCUUGAGUACAGGACAGGCAGGCGGAAUUCGUGGUGUAGCGGUGAAAUGCAUAGAUAUCACGAGGAACCCCGAUUGCGAAGGCAGCCUGCUGGGGUGCAACUGACACUGAGGCUCGAAGGUGCGGGUAUCAAACAGGAUUAGAUACCCCUGUAGUC